rnacentral:rRNA from 1 species
GGAGUUAGCCGGUGCUUCUUCUGCGAGUAACGCACAGAUGUAAGGUAUUAACUUACACCCUUUCCUCCUCGCUGAAAGUGCUUUACAACCCGAAGGCCUUCUUCACACACGCGGCAUGGCUGCAUCAGGGUUUCCCCCAUUGUGCAAUAUUCCCCACUGCUGCCUCCCGUAGGAGUCUGGGCCGUGUCUCAGUCCCAGUGUGGCUGAUCAUCCUCUCAGACCAGCUAGGGAUCGUCGCCUAGGUGAGCCUUUACCUCACCUACUAGCUAAUCCCACCUGGGCUUAUCCAUCAGCGCAAGGCCCGAAGGUCCCCUGCUUUCCCCCGUAGGGCGUAUGCGGUAUUAGCAGUCGUUUCCAACUGUUAUCCCCACAAAUGGGCAAAUUCCCAGGCAUUACUCACCCGUCCGCCGCUCGUCAUCUUCAAAAGCAAGCUUUUGAAAUGUUACCGCUCGACUUGCAUGUGUUAGGCCUGCCGCCAGCGUUCAAUCUGAGCCANGAUACAACUACUGA